UUACGGUCAUAUUACGUCGAAACAUUGGUUCCGGUACGAUUUAACGAAGUUAAGCAACAUCGAGCCUGGUCAGUACCUAGAUGAGUGAUCGCUUGUGAAUUCCAGGUGCUGUAAG